UACAGAGGUCUCAAGCGUUGUUCGGAUUCAUUGGGCGUAAAGGGUGCGUAGGUGGCGCCGUAAGUCAGGUGUGAAAUUUCGGAGCUUAACUCCGAAACUGCAUUUGAUACUGCGGUGCUUGAGGACUGGAGAGGAGACUGGAAUUCACGGUGUAGCAGUGAAAUGCGUAGAGAUCAGGCGGAACACCCGUGGCGAAGGCGGCCAGCUGGGCCGUCCCUGACGCUGAGGCGCGAAGGCGUGGGGAGCGAACGGG
rnacentral:rRNA from 1 species